ACCCCAGACUCCUACGGGAGGCAGCAGUGGGGAAUAUUGCACAAUGGGGGAAACCCUGAUGCAGCGACGCCGCGUGAGUGAAGAAGUAAUUCGUUAUGUAAAGCUCUAUCAGCAGGGAAGAAAAUGACGGUACCUGAGUAAGAAGCCCCGGCUAACUACGUGCCAGCAGCCGCGGUAAUACGUAGGGGGCAAGCGUUAUCCGGAUUUACUGGGUGGAAAGGGAGCGUAGACGGCAGUGCAAGUCUGGAGUGAAAGGCGGGGGCGCAACCGCCGGACUGCUCUGGAAACUGUGCGGCUGGAGUGCAGGAGAGGUAAGUGGAAUUCCUAGUGGAGCGGUGA
rnacentral:rRNA from 1 species